AAGGGGAAAGCCGAAAACCCUCGUAUUAACAGAGUAGGCA
rnacentral:ncRNA from 1 species